GUUUGGCAUUGGGGGAUUGGACGCGUUAGCAACUCUGCGACAGAUAGAACUCGUGUCCCAAGACGAUCCCGUGAAAUUGGAGACGGGAUUUGUAGCUUAUGAUCAAUGCAGUGGCAUUAAUUCAGACAACGAGUGUGUGAUUGCCUACGAAACCUACAAGUGCGGCCAGCAAAAAGCGCCGGACUUGGUCUCAAAAAUCGUCACGAGGAACUACGAUAAUAAUACAAUGCUGAUGCCUCCAACUCCUUGUGUUCCUGUGCGCAGAGCCUGCUGGCUUACGAACACUCUUCCUUGCAUAAAAAACCAAACUUUAAUCGACGCAUUGAAUAAAGAUGGAAGAGAUGCAUAUGGAAAUCUCGUUUUAGACAAAAACAGAACGUUUUAUUUUUCCAAUUUAGACCCAUUUCCACUUCCUUAUGAUGCCUACACUCAUUGCUGCGAAAUUGGAAUGUAUCUCGCAGAACCUCAGACACUUG